AGAUCAUGUAUGUAGCGCACUUUUGGUCAAAAUUGCGAAUUUGCUAUUGCCCCCAAUCGCAAAUCUAAUCCAGGUAUCUACGUUCUAGUUAUUGUUUUUCUUUCUUUCUUUACGGAUCUUAAAUCCAUUUUAUUAUGUGUGGAACUUAGAAACUUUUCAUAGUUCCUAUUUACUUUUAUUUUUGGUUUUGUGUGUUUGAGCCUUUUUCAGGAGUUAGUGUCGCCACCGAGCUCGUACUUCAUGGAUCAUGCCUCUUGCUCUUCCAGUUUCUCACAGCUUCCACGUAUUCCUAUGCAACUUUUACGUUUCCUUCAGUGAGGACACUAUCCAAACUAAGUGUGGGGUGAGAUUGCAUAGGAUUCUUGUUAGCUAGUCUUAAUGGGUGUUUAUUUGCAUGUUGAGUCCUAAACUAAAGCUUGUUGGAACCAUCUUUGAAUUAGUUACUUGGCAUGCUUAGAAAACUUCCCUAUGAUUUGUGCAAUUGAAUUGUUGAUUUACUUGUGAACCUAGAUUUUAUAGGAGUUUAGCCCUAUGAUCAAAGUCUAUUGAUUCAUUCUUUAGAGUUACUUUGAUGUGUUUAAAGUAGCACAGACUGUCCAACUUGAUGUGACCGGAUAUGUAUGUUACCAAAUUUCCAUCUAGCAAGAUAAUAUGAGGACUAAAAGACCAUUUUAUAGUUUAGAUAAUCUGCUUAACUAGUAGAUUUGUUCUUAAAUUUAAUUGAGUGGUCUUCUCUGUUGACUGUGAAUCCGACACAUGCAUGAUACCGAACUGAAUUCACCCGACACUGAUUGAGUAGAAUGAUAGAGGUACUUAGAAAAUCACCACCCAAAAAUAUCCAUAUUGUCCUUACAUUUUCCGCUAGGUAACCCAACAAAGCCAAAAAGCCUUUUCCAAAACCCUCAUAAUUUCGUAGCCCCUUUCUUUCAAGCCUUCAUGUCAUUAUGUGUACAUUAGUGGCAUGUACCUCGUCGAGUCUAGGAGUCAAUAAAGUUGCUAAAUUGAGUAAUUGCAUGAUUAUAUAGUCUCCCUUAAUCUUUUUUAUGUAUAAUUUUAAUUUCGAAUAAGAAGAGAAAAAAAUUGAAAAUCUCAAAAAAGGAGGAGACAAGUUAAAAAAUACAGUCUCGAAGAUCAAGCAAAAGAAAAUGAAAAAGAAGUUAUAGUAGAUUAGUUGAAUAAACUAGCAGUCAAGCUCGAAAUAGUAGUUAAAUAGUUUGAGCUCUUGUAGAAAGUUGGAACCUUGCAUAGUUUAUACUAUUUUAGUAGUUUAGCUCCAAAUUAGAGUAGACCGAGUCGUCUGCCGCUGUGUACACUUACCACCAAAUUCAUUUCACCUUAUCUUCCUUUUUAUGUCCACAUUAUAACCGUAAUAAAAGACCUCUUGAUUAGUGUUAGAUGUUCCUUGAUGUGAUGAUUAAAAGUAGGUUGAUCUGUAAGCGUUGGAAGAACAUCUCCGAGUUGAUGAUGAGCUCAUAAACACUUGAGUGAGUGCUUUCAGCUUCACUUUAAGUGGAAUCCCUUGAGAGUAAGUCUAGAUGGAUGGUAUAACAUGUUAUAAUUAUGUGUGCCAAGUUGGAGAACUUCUUGUGAGGCCUUUACUUCCUAUUUCGGUUUUUUAGAGGUUCACUUGUAUGUUAAGCAAUUCAGGGAUGCAUUGAGGAAUAUGAGUUUGCUUUGCAUGUUAGUAGUUUGAUUCUCUUGUAGAUAUGUUCCAUGGCUUUUAUCGGUUUUUUGCCUCAGGACAAGUAAAGUAUGGGGUUAUUUGAUGACGCUAGAUUUGUCACAUUUAUCGCCCUCAUUUCAGUGCUAUUUCAUGCAUAAUUCUAUUGCUUUAGGUAGAAGUUUAGGAUGUCUUAUGCAUUCUAAGCUUUUAUCUCAAUUUGAUGUUUCAGACCCGGUCGGGGUCCAUUUGAUGUCGUUUUGGAUUGUUUUUUAUAGAUUUCACGUACAUGACAACAUCGAGACAUUAAUAAGAGUGAUAUGGUGUGCAUUGAUGGUCUAGGACAAGAAUUGAGAAGCAAUUCGACAUUGCGUGAUAAAUCAUGAAGUGCAAGGAUCUCUGCUUGGUUGGAAAACAUCGCAGUUUUGUAAUUUGAACAUAUCUCCUUGCUCAGAAGCUUGAUUGAUGCAAGGUCGACGAUAUUGAAAAGCUAGUUCAAUUUCCUACAACUGGUGAAAAAUUAAAUUUUGUGACUUUUACCAAAAUGCGUUGUGAAUAUGACCAAAAGUGUGGCACACUUUUGGUCCAUGUUAAGCGCACUUUUGGUCAUCCGUUAGGCAUAAGGGAUCCUUCCCUAUAAAAUCCCAGUUAUCUCUCAUAAUUUAGAGACCCUUUUGGACGAAAAUAUGAGAAUAUUUCAGAAACUCCAGGGCAAAGAGAAAGCAUCGACUUCAAGGAGCUCAGAUCGGAAGACAUAAUCAAGAUUGGCAUAUCGAUUUCUUUGACAGUUCUCGGCAAAAUUAGGUUUUCUCGGAUUUAUUCUUGUAAAUCUAAUUCCAAUAUGUUCCUUUGUUGAUUUUGAUUUGUUCUUCAUUAUUAUGAGUAGCGAAACUCCUCAUACUUAGAUUAGAUGAACCCUAGGUAACUCCUUAUGAAUGGAUGAUUGUCUGACUUUGACGAAUUAUGAGAGUUGGAUGGACUUUGGUUUA
rnacentral:lncRNA from 1 species